GCGCCCAUAGCUCAGCUGGAUAGAGCGUUCCCCUCCGGAGGGAAAGGCCGGGAGUUCGAAUCUUCUUGGGCGCG
rnacentral:tRNA from 1 species